AGCACGGGAGCAAUCCUGGUGGCGAGUGGCGAACGGGUGAGUAAUGUAUCGGAACGUACCUUUCAGUGGGGGAUAACGUAGCGAAAGUUACGUUAAUACCGCAUAUUCUGUGAGCAGGAAAGCAGGGGAUCGCAAGACCUUGCGCUGAUUGAGCGGCCGAUAUCAGAUUAGCUAGUUGGUGAGGUAAAGGCUCACCAAGGCGACGAUCUGUAGCGGGUCUGAGAGGAUGAUCCGCCACACUGGAACUGAGACACGGUCCAGACUCCUACGGGAGGCAGCAGUGGGGAAUUUUGGACAAUGGGGGCAACCCUGAUCCAGCCAUGCCGCGUGAGUGAAGAAGGCCUUCGGGUUGUAAAGCUCUUUCAGCCGGGAAGAAAUCACAUGGGUUAAUACCCUGUGUGGAUGACGGUACCGGAAUAAGAAGCACCGGCUAACUACGUGCCAGCAGCCGCGGUAAUACGUAGGGUGCGAGCGUUAAUCGGAAUUACUGGGCGUAAAGCGUGCGCAGGCGGUUUGUUAAGAUAGGCGUGAAAUCCCCGGGCUCAACCUGGGAACUGCGUUUAUGACUGGCAGGCUAGAGUAUGGCAGAGGGGGGUGGAAUUCCACGUGUAGCAGUGAAAUGCGUAGAGAUGUGGAGGAACACCGAUGGCGAAGGCGGCCCCCUGGGCCAAUACUGACGCUCAUGCACGAAAGC
rnacentral:rRNA from 1 species